UACACUCCUGCGGGAGGCAGCAGUGGGGAAUAUUGCACAAUGGGCGCAAGCCUGAUGCAGCCAUGCCGCGUGUAUGAAGAAGGCCUUCGGGUUGUAAAGUACUUUCAGCGGGGAGGAAGGCGAUAAGGUUAAUAACCUUGUUGAUUGACGUUACCCGCAGAAGAAGCACCGGCUAACUCCGUGCCAGCAGCCGCGGUAAUACGGAGGGUGCAAGCGUUAAUCGGAAUUACUGGGCGUAAAGCGCACGCAGGCGGUCUGUCAAGUCGGAUGUGAAAUCCCCGGGCUCAACCUGGGAACUGCAUUCGAAACUGGCAGGCUAGAGUCUUGUAGAGGGGGGUAGAAUUCCAGGUGUAGCGGUGAAAUGCGUAGAGAUCUGGAGGAAUACCGGUGGCGAAGGCGGCCCCCUGGACAAAGACUGACGCUCAGGUGCGAAAGCGUGGGGAGCAAACAGGAUUAGAUACCCCUGUAGUCC
rnacentral:rRNA from 1 species